UACGUAGGGUGCGAGCGUUAAUCGGAAUUACUGGGCGUAAAGCGUGCGCAGGCGGUUUUGUAAGCCAGAUGUGAAAUCCCCGGGCUCAACCUGGGAAUGGCGAUGGAUACUGGCUCGCUAGAGUGCGGUAGAGGAGAGUGGAAUUCCCGGUGUAGCAGUGAAAUGCGUAGAGAUCGGGAGGAACAUCAGUUGCGAAGGCGGCUCUCUGGACCAGCACUGACACUGAGGCACGAAAGCGUGGGGAGCAAACAGG
rnacentral:rRNA from 1 species